rnacentral:rRNA from 1 species
GACGAACGCUGGCGGCGUGCCUAAUACAUGCAAGUAGAACGCUGAAGGAGGAGCUUGCUUCUCUGGAUGAGUUGCGAACGGGUGAGUAACGCGUAGGUAACCUGCCUGGGAGCGUGGGAUAACUAUUGGAAACGAUAGCUAAUACCGCAUAAUAGUAGAUGUUGCAUGACAUUUGCUUAAAAGGUGCAAUUGCAUCACUACCAGAUGGACCUGCGUUGUAUUAGCUAGUUGGUGGGGUAACGGCUCACCAAGGCGACGAUGCAUCGCCGAACGGCGAGGGUGAUUGGCCACACUGGGACGGAGACACGGCCCAGACUGCUACGGGAGGCAGCAGUAGGGAAUCUUCGGCAAUGGACGGAAGUCUGACCGAGCAACGCCGCGUGAGUGAAGAAGGUUGUCGGAUCGUAAAGGUCUGUUGUAAGAGAAGAAAGAGUGUGAGAGUGGAAAGUUCACACUGUGACGGUAUCUUAUCAGAAAGGGACGGCUAACUACGUG